CAGCAGCCGCGGGAAUACGUAGGUGGCAAGCGUUGUCCGGAAUUAUUGGGCGUAAAGCGCGCGCAGGCGGAUAGGUCAGUCUGUCUUAAAAGUUCGGGGCUUAACCCCGUGAUGGGAUGGAAACUGCCAAUCUAGAGUAUCGGAGAGGAAAGUGGAAUUCCUAGUGUAGCGGUGAAAUGCGUAGAUAUUAGGAAGAACACCAGUGGCGAAGGCGACUUUCUGGACGAAAACUGACGCUGAGGCGCGAAAGCCAGGGGAGCGAACGGGAUUAGAUACCCCCGUAGUCCCUGUCUCUUAUACA
rnacentral:rRNA from 1 species